rnacentral:rRNA from 1 species
GAUGAACGCUGGCGGCGUGCCUAAUACAUGCAAGUCGAGCGAACGGACGAGAAGCUUGCUUCUCUGAUGUUAGCGGCGGACGGGUGAGUAACACGUGGAUAACCUACCUAUAAGACUGGGAUAACUUCGGGAAACCGUAGCUAAUACCGGAUAAUAUUUUGAACCGCAUGGUUCAAAAGUGAAAGACGGUCUUGCUGUCACUUGUAGAUGGAUCCGCGCUGCAUUAGCUAGUUGGUAAGGUAACGGCUUACCAAGGCAACGAUGCAUAGCCGACCUGAGAGGGUGAUCGGCCACACUGGAACUGAGACACGGUCCAGACUCCUACGGGAGGCAGCAGUAGGGAAUCUUCCGCAAUGGGCGAAAGCCUGACGGAGCAACGCCGCGUGAGUGAUGAAGGUCUUCGGAUCGUAAAACUCUGUUAUUAGGGAAGAACAUAUGUGUAAGUAACUGUGCACAUCUUGACGGUACCUAAUCAGGAAGCCACGGCUAACUACGUG